rnacentral:rRNA from 1 species
UACGUAGGGUGCAAGCGUUGCCCGGAUUUAUUGGGCGUAAAGAGCUCGUAGGCGGCUUGUCACGUCGGGUGUGAAAGACCGGGGCUUAACCCCGGUUCUGCAUUCGAUACGGGCUAGCUAGAGUGUGGUAGGGGAGAUCGGAAUUCCUGGUGUAGCGGUGAAAUGCGCAGAUAUCAGGAGGAACACCGGUGGCGAAGGCGGAUCUCUGGGCCAUUACUGACGCUGAGGAGCGAAAGCGUGGGGAGCGAACAGG